rnacentral:tRNA from 1 species
GCCGGAGUGGCGGAAUUGGCAGACGCAAGGGACUUAAAAUCCCUCGAAGCCUAGCUUUGUACGGGUUCAAGUCCCGUCUCCGGCA